GUCUGGACAGCAGCAUAUGAAUGGGAUAGGUGAGGAGGAGACACAAUUCAGCCCAUAACAGGCCUUAAAAGGAGUCAGUGCUGUGGCUCGGUUAUCCACCCAGCUGGAGAUACAACCAUAGAGCAGCAGGUCUCUGCCAGCGGUGCUCACGUGGUGCCUCGUCCACGGCCCAGGUUGGAGGGCACUCAGGAGUCUGAAACCCAGCACUGAGCUCCUGCAGGGUCUUGAAAAAUCCAGGAAACACCUUUACAUGCCUUGGCCCAUACUCGCCUUCCUGUCCUUUUUCAUCUUGACAACUGUCCCUGGCCUGGAGUCAUGAGCCUCCUGGCCCUAGUCCCUCCGGGUGAGAACUGCCAUCACCAGAAAUCUUCCCUCUGCCCAGCAGGUGAUGUCAACAGUGGCACUUCUGGCCUUGAAGAAUGGACUUGCUCUGCGGAACACGGGUUGGCUGAGGACUGGAUCUCUCCAGUGUUGUAUUUGGGUUUCCGGACAAAGCAGAAACGUUUUCAACUUAGAGUUAGUCUACCUGGUAGCCUUCCAGAUGGCUGCAGCCUGUCUGUUUGUAAUGGGAAAGAAGUCCUGAUGAAUGUCCAGACGCCCUGUGUGCCAUCUGGAUCCUGGUGUAAAGAAGGCCAGUCAAGAUGGACGUGCUUCACCCAUUUGUUGAGUGCCAGCACUUUGCCGCACAGAACAGAGAUUACAUGGCCUGCCCACCCAACAGGCCGACGAUCACAGGACCCUGUGUGUCCCUGUGGAUGUCUCCAACUCAGCUUAUAUUUUAAAAGAAAAUAA
rnacentral:lncRNA from 12 species